rnacentral:lncRNA from 1 species
UUUGUUUAAAGUCCAGAUAAAGUGAAAUACAAUUUUUCCACAAUUUGCUUAGUGUUGGCAUUCCUGGGAAAAUUCCUGUAGGGAUAACAGGGUAAAAAUACACUGUGCAGGGAGUUCCCAUCAUGGCACAGCAGAAACAAUCCGACUAGGAACCAUGAGGUUGUGGGUCCGAUCCCUGGCCUUGCUCAGCAGGUCAAGGAUCUAGCAUUGCUGUGAGAUGUGGUGUAGUUUGCAGAUGCGGCUUAGAUCUGGUGUUGCUGUGGCUGUGGCAUAGGCCAGCAGCUGCAGCUCUGAUUGGACCCCUAGCCUGGGAACCUCCAUAUUGCCGCACCUAAAGACAAAUAAAUAAAUAAAAAUACACUGCUUAUUAUAAAAUGUACUUAGAGUCUAGGCUUAGGUUAUAACAUUUUUCAUCUAUGUAAGUGACCAUCAGGACAUUUGAAAGUAAUGUGGGAUGCAGGACAAUUCUUGGUCUGUGGACUGCACUACAUACUGUAGAACACAAAGCAUCUUUGUCUCUUUCUCAUGAAAAACAAAUGAUACCCAACUCAUUGUGACAACCCAAAAUAUUCAACACUUUAAAAAAUUUCCCCCUAUAGAAUAGUAUACCACCUUGAUAACUAUUGAUCUGUUCACACUUGCAUCAACAGAAUUUGUCUUUUCUUUCUUUUUUUUUAGUUGAAAUAACAUAGUUAUUCACCUGCUCUCAUGUACCAGAGACUGCAGACUGUAUAUACUACACAUAGGAGUUAUUACUGUCUUCUUUAAUCUUAUGAAAUGACAGGGAAGACAUUAAACAGAAAUCUGUCUAUAAAACUGAAGUCCCUUUAAGAAUGAUUCAGUCAUGGCAACACUGAAAUUCAGUUCUCAAUAAGAAAGUGUUCUUCGGCUAGUGUAAAUUCCAGUAAAGAGACCAUGGCCAUUUUGAAGGGCAAAGAAAUGUAAACUAUGGAUUAUCCAAAACACAAGCACAAAUGCAAAGCAGUUUUUCAGAGGGUAAGUGGCUCUUAUACAAGAUUAUACAGUCAAGUCCAGUUAGGAUGAAUCUAGCCACAAAAAUCAAUGUUACAUAUGUUCUAUCAUAAUGACCCCUGCACAAAUCUUUUAAGUGCCGGACAUAUUGAUAAAUCAUGCACCAAGUGCUAAUGUUAUCUGACUCUUUCAGUGAUAAGAUGCCACAUUUUUUGUGGCAUCUAUAGAUUGCUUUAGACAGGAAUAAAUUCCUAAAGGAAAAGAGGAUAAGAAAAUGAAUAUAAAGUAUAUUCUGUUAAAUACAUUGAGAUUUCUUUUUAUAUUCAUUUUAUUGAGGUAUAGUUGAUAUACAACCCUGCGUUAAUUUCUUCUGCAUAGCAGUUUUAUAUGUGUAUAUAUAUAUAUUAGUUUUAUAUGUGUAUAUAUUCUUUUCCAUUAUGAGUUAUUACAAGAUGUUGAAUGUAGUUCCCUGUGCUAUACAGUUGAGCUUUAUUGUUUAUCUAUUCUAUAUAUAAUGGUUUGCAUCUGCUAGUCCCAAACCCCUAGUCCAUCCCUCUCCCACACACCCUCCCCCUUGGCAACCACAAGUCUGUUCUGUAUAUCUGUAAGUCUGUUUCUGUUUUAUAGAUAAGUUCAUUUGUGUCAUAUUUUAGAUUUUACAUCAUAGUGAUAUGAAAUGCUAUUUGUCUUUCUUUCUGAUUUAACUGCAUUUAAUAUGAUAAUCUCUAGUUACAUCAAAGUUGCUACAAAUGACAUUUUUUCAUUCUUUUGAGAUUUCUUUUUUCUGUAUCAUUUAGAAAAAAGCACAAAUUUAACAAAUUUGUGUUUUGUCAGAGUAAUUCUAAAAUUUACUUUAUGCAUGAAAACAAAAUAGAGAAUAUGUUCCAAUGGCUGCAUUAAUAGAAUAUCAUGACAAUGCCCAAAUAGAUAAAGACCUAGACACAAACAGGACAGAUUUUCAUGCUUUUUAACUUGGCAAGCAUUGCUUUUAUUAAGAACACUUUGAGCAUAGUAAGGUUUCUGAAAGUUUUAAGAUACAAAUAGAUCCCUCAAUAUAUUAUACAUCGACAGAGUGACCAUAUAUAUUUAGUUAACAGAGUAUGUCUUCAAAUUCAUAAAACUUGUAUGACUUUUGAUUUCGUCACAGUAACAAGAAUUCAAAAAAGUGAACCUCUUGUACAACAAUGUUAAAAUGCUCAACACUACUGAAUUGUUAAAAAAAAGUAGUUAAGACUUUUAAAAAUGAACCUCUUCAGUCAAGACUCUGCACUUUUUAGUAACUAUUAGCCCUGUAUGGUACACUAUAAUCAUUACAAAGGAUAUCGUCUCUCUGAUUGCAGGGAAGUGAUUUCUUUUGUUCAGAGAUAUAUCCACAGACUCUAGAACUUGGCUUUCACAACAGGAAUUCACAAUACUUGUUGAAUAAAUGUUGAGCUUAUUAUUAAAUAUUAGUUGCUUGCAUGAGCCCCAGUGUUUUUAGGUGCAUAAUAAAAUCAAUAAUAAAAAUAUACUUAUUGCUGGGAUCUAGUCAGAUAAUGUAUGUAGAAUUAGUUUACCAACUCUGUCUAAAUUAUUACUUUUAUGUGUUUUUAUUUUGCUAACAUUUUUUACCUUUUAAAAUAAACUCCCAGGUAUUAAUCAAUAAGUGAGUAAAAACCAAAAGAGUUCUUGACUUUUCAGUAAUACAGAACAUUUCCUGAAACACACUCUCUUCCUUUAAUUUGCAUGAUGUGUAGUGUCUCAGAUUUCACUGGCCAUUCCUUCUCAAUCUCUUGCUUAGUUUUAUCUUUUCCCCUGGAACUUGGUCUUGGAUCCCCAUCUCUUCUGUCUUUAUACUUUCUCUUCUUACUACCAAUUUAAAUAUUUACAGACUGAGGACCCCUCAAUUAUACCCAUUUCAAAUAUAUCCUCAUAUACAUAUUUAACUGCUCACCUAAUAUUUCCAAAAAAAAAUAUAUAUAUAUAUAUAUCUCACAGGCUUCUCAAAAAUCUCUGUGACUAAAACUGAAUUCCUCUCUACCCCAUCCCACAUUGCUUUAAAUUUGUUCUGCAUUCAAACUUCCCCAACUCAGUACAUGUCAAUACUAUCCACUCACGUGCUUAAAUCAGAAACCUUGGCAACAUCUUUAAUUUACUUCUAUUAACCUUCUGCAUUUCCCCAGCCAAUCCAGCAACAGAUUCUUUGAAUUUGCUUUCAAAAUCUACAUAAAAUCUCUAUUUCUAUCUUCUCUGUAAGCACUUUGGUACAGUGCACUCUCUCUUCUUCCUUGGAGUUAACAAUGGUGUCCACUUGGACUUCCUUUUAUUUAGUUGCCUUAAGGAACAAUUUAAACUUUAAAUCUUUUUAGUCCCCUUUUAUGCUCUCCCAUUGUACUUAAUCCAAAUCACUUGAUACUUCUUCUAUGGCUCUGAUGGUCUGACUGCAAUCUAUUUUUCAUGAACUUAUUUCAUGUCUUUCUUCUCUUCCCUCCUCAAUUCCAGCCCCUAUAGCUUACUCUCAGAUCUUUGAACGGACAGCCCUGUUUUUUUUGUUUGUUUGUUCCAGGACCUUUAAACAUGCUUUUAUCUCUCCCUAAUACCAUUUUAAAUGGCUGGCUCCUUCUCACACUUUAGCCCCCAACACAAGUGUCACUCCUAAGAAAACACCUCUUAUCUGUUUAUCUAAAUUAGCCCCACUCCUUGUUGUUCUUUAUCACUGUACAGUGUUUUCUCCCUAAUAUCACUGUGAUUUGGAAUGAUGUAUUUGCUUGUUUACUUAUGUAAUACUCUCCUCCUAGCAGUAGUCUAGUUCCUCGAGGGCAGAAACAUAUCUAUUUUUGCUAUUAAAUUCCUGGUACAUCACUUUUGUCUCCUCCGCAAACCUGAAAGCUCUAAAACAGGAAUCAUGUCUGAUUUUGGCCACUUGGUGCCUAACACAGGGUGUUUGUUUCCUUGUCGUUUCUUACUGAAAAAUAACCUUAGAUUAUGUAGAAGGAAAUUCUUAUCAGUUCAACAACCUUAGAUUAAAAGUAGCAGAUUGUAACCUGACCAUCUUAUAUGUAUAAAUGCACUAUAUUUUUCAACUUAACUAAAAAUGUACCAUUUCAUUCAGUGACCAUUAUCUUAAAUCUUCAUAAAAUGAUAUUUCUUAAAAUUGUGUUUAAAAAAUCUUAAAUAUAAGAAAACUUCCAUAAGUAAUGCUGACAACUGCCUGAUUUCAUGAAACUGUGAGCUGGAGUUUGACACUUGCCAUCAGCUUCUGCAUGGAUUAAAUCAUGAGCCACUGACAGUGCUGACCUGUAACACGCCCUGAGCAGAUCUAGGAGCUCAGGGUGGAGAUCAGAAGUGAGGCACUCUGUGCUCUGGGAAAACUGGAAGAACAGGUCUUCAGAUAGAUAUUUUUAGGAGACGAUUUUAUGAGCCCAUUUCUUGGAUCUCCUUGUAUCUAGAAAAACACUAAAAUCUUUCAUGGUGAUGUCUGCUCCUCUUGCAGUAACCUUUACUAGACCAACAGCAAACUUUUGUAAACUAUGUGCAUGACUGUAUGAACACCCCCCACCCUGCACUCACCCCCCCUCACCUUUAUUACAUAUAUCCUGAUAUUUCUCCUUUCCUCUUUGGGGCAUCUUUCAGAGCUGUCUGAAAUGGCUGCCUCUGGGCUGCAGUUACGUGGACAAAACAAAGAGAUGUCACAGUCAGCUCUGAGUAUAGCCACUCCCAAGGGUGAACUGGUGUCCUAAGGGAACUCAGGAAAGAAACAAAGAGUACUGUCCCUGAUCGCUGAGGUGCCAAUUAAAGGAGUGAUUUCAGUAGCCCCAGGCCUUUGCAUCUUCUAUAGAAAUGUGCUGAAUUCCUCAACUUGAAAUACCUGGUUUUCUGUAAUCUUUUGUUCCUAUUACCUGUGCUUUG